rnacentral:rRNA from 1 species
UGAACGCUAGCUACAGGCUUAACACAUGCAAGUCGAGGGGCAGCAUGGUCUUAGCUUGCUAAGGCCGAUGGCGACCGGCGCACGGGUGAGUAACACGUAUCCAACCUGCCGUCUACUCUUGGACAGCCUUCUGAAAGGAAGAUUAAUACAAGAUGGCAUCAUGAGUCCGCAUGUUCACAUGAUUAAAGGUAUUCCGGUAGACGAUGGGGAUGCGUUCCAUUAGAUAGUAGGCGGGGUAACGGCCCACCUAGUCUUCGAUGGAUAGGGGUUCUGAGAGGAAGGUCCCCCACAUUGGAACUGAGACACGGUCCAAACUCCUACGGGAGGCAGCAGUGAGGAAUAUUGGUCAAUGGGCGAGAGCCUGAACCAGCCAAGUAGCGUGAAGGAUGACUGCCCUAUGGGUUGUAAACUUCUUUUAUAAAGGAAUAAAGUCGGGUAUGGAUACCCGUUUGCAUGUACUUUAUGAAUAAGGAUCGGCUAACUCCGUGCCAGCAGCCGCGGUAAUACGGAGGAUCCGAGCGUUAUCCGGAUUUAUUGGGUUUAAAGGGAGCGUAGAUGGAUGUUUAAGUCAGUUGUGAAAGUUUGCGGCUCAACCGUAAAAUUGCAGUUGAUACUGGAUAUCUUGAGUGCAGUUGAGGCAGGCGGAAUUCGUGGUGUAGCGGUGAAAUGCUUAGAUAUCACGAAGAACUCCGAUUGCGAAGGCAGCCUGCUAAGCUGCAACUGACAUUGAGGCUCGAAAGUGUGGGUAUCAAACAGGAUUAGAUACCCUGGUAGUCCACACGGUAAACGAUGAAUACUCGCUGUUUGCGAUAUACUGCAAGCGGCCAAGCGAAAGCGUUAAGUAUUCCACCUGGGGAGUACGCCGGCAACGGUGAAACUCAAAGGAAUUGACGGGGGCCCGCACAAGCGGAGGAACAUGUGGUUUAAUUCGAUGAUACGCGAGGAACCUUACCCGGGCUUAAAUUGCAGAUGAAUUACGGUGAAAGCCGUAAGCCGCAAGGCAUCUGUGAAGGUGCUGCAUGGUUGUCGUCAGCUCGUGCCGUGAGGUGUCGGCUUAAGUGCCAUAACGAGCGCAACCCUUGUUGUCAGUUACUAACAGGUUCCGCUGAGGACUCUGACAAGACUGCCAUCGUAAGAUGUGAGGAAGGUGGGGAUGACGUCAAAUCAGCACGGCCCUUACGUCCGGGGCUACACACGUGUUACAAUGGGGGGUACAGAGGGCCGCUACCACGCGAGUGGAUGCCAAUCCCCAAAACCUCUCUCAGUUCGGACUGGAGUCUGCAACCCGACUCCACGAAGCUGGAUUCGCUAGUAAUCGCGCAUCAGCCACGGCGCGGUGAAUACGUUCCCGGGCCUUGUACACACCGCCCGUCAAGCCAUGGGAGCCGGGGGUACCUGAAGUGCGUAACCGCGAGGAGCGCCCUAGGGUAAAACUGGUGACUGGGGCUAA